rnacentral:rRNA from 1 species
CGGUAUUUUAACUGUACUAAGGUAGCAUAAUAAUUUGCCUUAUAAUUUGAGGCUAGAAUGAAUGGUUUGACGAAGGUUAAUCUGUCUCUAUCCUAUUUUGUAGAAUUUAAUUUUUAAAGUGAAAAAGCUUGUAUUUUUUAAAGGGACGAGAAGACCCUAUUGAGCUUAUAAUUUUACUGUUGUUUAUAAGUAUUUAUUUGAUGAUGGAUAAAUUUUAAUUGGGGUGAUUGAGGAAUAAAAUAUAUUAAAUAGUAACUUCCUUAGGUUAAAUGUUGUUGGAUAAAGUAACCAAUAUAUUAUUGCUUAUAAUAUAGUUACCAUAGGGAUAACAGCGUAAUUUAUUUAGAGAGUUCUUAUUGAAAAAUAAGAUUGCGACCUCGAUGUUGGAUUAAAGUAACCUUAAGGUGCAGAAGCUU